AUGCAAGGUAAUCUGUCUUUAAGGAGGGGUUAAAGCCCAGGGAGCUAGGGGAAGCCGUGAAUCCUAGAUAGUUUCCCCUUCAAGUCAAGUGUCUGU
rnacentral:pre_miRNA from 1 species